GCGGAGGGAUCAUUACUGAGUUUACGCUCUAUAACCCUUUGUGAACAUACCUAUAACUGUUGCUUCGGCGGGUAGGGUCUCCGCGACCCUCCCGGCCUCCCGCCUCCGGGCGGGUCGGCGCCCGCCGGAGGAUAACCAAACUCUGAUUUAACGACGUUUCUUCUGAGUGGUACAAGCAAAUAAUCAAAACUUUUAACAACGGAUCUCUUGGUUCUGGCAUCGAUGAAGAACGCAGCGAAAUGCGAUAAGUAAUGUGAAUUGCAGAAUUCAGUGAAUCAUCGAAUCUUUGAACGCACAUUGCGCCCGCCAGCAUUCUGGCGGGCAUGCCUGUUCGAGCGUCAUUUCAACCCUCAAGCUCUGCUUGGUGUUGGGGCCCUACAGCUGAUGUAGGCCCUCAAAGGUAGUGGCGGACCCUCCCGGAGCCUCCUUUGCGUAGUAACUUUACGUCUCGCACUGGGAUCCGGAGGGACUCUUGCCGUAAAACCCCCCAAUUUUCCAAAGGUUGACCUCGGAUCAGGUAG
rnacentral:rRNA from 1 species